GCCCUUAGAUGUUCUGGGCUGCACGCGCGCUACAUUGACACACCCAGCGAGUCUCCUGCCCUGACAGGGUUGGGUAAUCAUUGGAGUGUGUGUCGUGAUGGGGAUAGAGUAUUGCAAUUAUUGCUCUCGAACGAGGAAUUCCUAGUAAGCACAAGUCAGCAGCUUGUGCUGAUUACGUCCCUGCCCUUUGUACACACCGCCCGUCGCUCCUACCGAGGGGGUGAUCCGGUGAAUGAUUCGGACUUUGGCGUUUCUAGCUGCUAGCAGCGCUGAAGAAAGUUUUGUGAACCUUAUCACUUGGAGGAAGGAGAAGUCGUAACA
rnacentral:rRNA from 1 species